AUAUAGAGAGAUGUCAAAAGUGGCACUUAUACAAAACAGUGAGCUUAAAGGGUGUCUAAGCUUAUUGCAAGUAUGGGCAUGGGAGAGACUUCAUUUGAAGCCGAGACUAUGCACGCAUUUACAAUUAGAUGGACAAAUUCCACUGGGAUGCAGAUGGAAUGUCGAAAAAUGCUAUGACGAGACCCCGGCUAGACAAUUGGAUUUCUACCGGAAUGAGCUUGACCGUAUGAAGAUUUUUCAGAUGGAAUGGGAGCCCUACACCCAAUUUCUACCUCAGCUACCCCCAAUAUGCACAGAAUACCAAGUUGUAUGGAGAGCUAGAGUUCCUCUUAUAUGUUUGGAGAUAGUAGAAAUGCAUGUACCGGACCGCGUGCUUCGACAAUUUGGUCGUGCACAACAUGUUCCGCAGUUUGUUGAAAAGAUAGAGAGGAAGGCAAAAAAAGGAGGCCAGCAAAUAAACUGGAUGAUCGUGCAUCAAGCUUUUAUACACAGAUGGAAUGAUAGGCAUUUUUGCAUUGUCAACCAAAUUGAACCAA